UACGUAGGGGGCAAGCGUUGUCCGGAAUCAUUGGGCGUAAAGCGCGUGUAGGCGGCCCAGUAAGUCCGCUCUGAAAGCCCGGGGCUUAACCCCGGGAGGCGGGUGGAUACUGCUGGGCUCGAGUCCGGAAGAGGCGAGUGGAAUUCCCGGUGUAGCGGUGAAAUGCGCAGAUAUCGGGAGGAACACCAAUGGCGAAGGCAGCUCGCUGGGACGUGACUGACGCUGAGACGCGAAAGCGUGGGGAGCAAACAGGG
rnacentral:rRNA from 1 species